rnacentral:pre_miRNA from 1 species
AGUGGGAUACCUGGGUCAAAUGGUGGUUCCAUUACCAGUUUUUCAAGGAAUCUCCAGACCGCUUUCCAUAUUGGCUGUACCAAUUUGCAGUCCCACCAGGAUU